rnacentral:tRNA from 1 species
GAGGUUGUGGCUCAGCAGUAGAGCGCUUGCCUAGCAUGUGCAAGGCCCUGGGUUCGAUCCUCAGCACCACA